rnacentral:rRNA from 1 species
UACGGGGGGAGCAAGCGUUGUUCGGAUUUACUGGGCGUAAAGGGCGCGUAGGCGGUCGUGACAAGUCACUUGUGAAAUCUCCGGGCUUAACUCGGAACGGUCAGGUGAUACUGUCGGACUAGAGUACAGAAGGGGCAACUGGAAUUCUCGGUGUAGCGGUGAAAUGCGUAGAUAUCGAGAGGAACACCUGCGGCGAAGGCGGGUUGCUGGGCUGAUACUGACGCUGAGGCGCGAAAGCCAGGGGAGCGAACGGG